rnacentral:tRNA from 1 species
GGUCGGGGAGCGUCGAGGCCGACGCGGCGAGGUGGCCGCCCGCCGAAAAACCCAUCACGCCGAUUCGCUGGGGAUCGACGCCCCACUCGGCCGC